rnacentral:tRNA from 1 species
AAGGUUUUAAGUUAGUAAAAAACUAGGGGCCUUCAAAGCCCCCAUCAGGAGCUGGUGCUUCUAAAUCUUA